GUAGGCAUGGCCUCUUCUUUUACCAACCCAGGAAAACAUAACAAACCUAAGAAUAAAAGAAAAUUCUUCAGUCUUCUAAAGGGCCUUGAACAUCUCUGUGACUCUUAAAUGCUGAGAAACCCCCUUCAGGCCAGGGUGGUAUUUGCCCAGCUGGUGGGAAUGUCUGCAGCUCAAUUGAGUCAUUCUCCAGGCACUGACCUCAGGCCAAGAGGCUCCCCACACAGGGUCACACCCAGUCCCUGACGGCAGUCUUCAGCCAGUAAUUGGUAGAUAAGGGGUAUAAAGGCCAGGCCCCCUUGCCUGAAGAUAGACACCUUUGACCCCAGGAGGAUAUUGGCUGACAGCCUCCAUGUGUUGUACCUGCAGGAUCCAGCACCACAUUCACAGCCUAGGCCUCUCACCGUGACUGAUAGUGAGUGGACUUGAGGAGGACCAUUCUGGCCAGCGGGGACUCCUCACAGCUGACUCACCAGCCUGGUCAAUACUCUCUGAGCUGCUGCUUCCUUCCUGCUCUCCUUUUUCAGUUGUCAGACCCAUGUCAUAAUGUCAAAAGUUUCCUAGCUAACACCUGCUCUUGUUCACUUUAUCCUUCACAGGUGUUUCCUCCUAAUAAAACCUUGUACAUCUCCACUCCGUCACAGUAUCUGCUUUUCAGAGGAACUGAACUGAACAGUUGGUACUAGCAAAUGGUCUGAGAAGGCAGCCUCUAGGGCAGAGAGUGGAUUGCUCACUGGCCGGCAAGGAAAACCCCAACCUCAGUGGGAUGUGGGCCGCAAAUCGUCCCUGGCACAAGGUGGUGUCUCAGCUGCUGACUAUUUCACAGAUGAUGGCCUGAGGAAACAUACCCAGUGCAGAAAAUCAAGCUUACCUAUGCAAUGAAUGAGGCCUUUAAAGACACGAGAGCCAGCGCCUGCAAAGACAAGGGCUAGUCUUUACAAGUGAAUGGAAGCCCUUCAGAGGGAUAACUAGAAACUGAAGGCAGCUAAUGAGAAGUUCAAGGCUAAGUAUGAGAGCCAGUGUAUGCUUGUGGUGGUACUUCUUACAAAGCCAUCCUUAUCUCCCUGCAGUGGCAGAGAACACAGCUCAGGAGCAAUCACGGGACUUUGCAGAUUUACAACUGGGAGCCACAGAGAUGAUUAAACACUCUGUUACACUAAGGUCCGAGCCCUGAAACGUGGGAUGGGGACAUCUAGGUGGAUGUACCCCAGUAUUGAGGCUCAACACACCCCCAAUUCUGUGCUCACUGUCCUACCACCAGCCCCAAACUACAGAGA
ensembl:lncRNA